rnacentral:rRNA from 1 species
GAGUGAACUGGGAAGAGUCCAGCGCUGAAUCACUUCUCCUCUGGGGUCGUGAGGUGUAGCGUACAGACCGUGAGCUUGGAUUGGCCUGCUUGUUCAAGUUUCCCUUGACCGGGGCUCCAGAGAAGGUGCAAGACCUGUCCAACGAGUGGUUGCCUAUCCAUCUUCGCGUGUCUUGGAGUCGGGUUGUUUGGGAUCGCAGCCCAAAGUAGGUGGUAAACUUCAUCUAAGACUGAAUACGGCCACGAGUCCGAUAGCGAACAAGUACCGUGAGGGAAAGUUGCAAAGCACUUUGAAGAGAGAGUUAAAGAGGACGUGAAACCGAUGAGAUGGAAACGGACAGAGCUGGCGUAUCUGGUCUGCAUUCAUCCGUGUGUUCUUGGGCGUUUGGAUUGCCACUCCAGACUGGGAUGGUGUUCAUUCUGUUCAGGGGCUCAUGGAGCAUUUGCAGGCGGAGUGCGCUGAGAUGCUCGGAGCAGCUGCAUGAGCUUGGCUUUGAGGCCAGCCCUUCGGGGUCUGGUACCCGGGCUGUGGGAGUGCUGUUUGUUCUGGGUGCUGAGUGUGUGCAAUGGCAACGGGUCCGUGUUGGUUUGAGCUGGCGGUCGGUGGCGGUCGCGUGCGACACGUGCCAGCAGUCAGUUCGGUCCUGCUCGGGCUCUCAUUGCAUGUUCUCGGUGUAAAAGCCGGUCAUCUGUCCGACCCGUCUUGAAACACGGACCAAGGAGUUUAGCGUGUGCGCGAGUCAUUGGGAGUUGAAAACCCAAGGGCGUAAUGAAAGUGAAGGUCUCCUUGCGGAGCUGAUGUGUGAUCUCGUGCACCCCGGUGUGCGGGCGCAACAUAGUCCCGUCCCGAUCGCAUGCGAUGGGGCGGAGACAGAGCGUACGCGCUGAGACCCGAAAGAUGGUGAACUAUUCCUGAGCAGGAUGAAGCCAGAGGAAACUCUGGUGGA